ACCACUUGCCUCCAAUGAUUCUAGGAGUAUGGUGGAUGUUGCGCAAGAGAAAGAAGCUUCUGGUCUGAAGGUUGAUCAAAGGAUUUUUGAUCAAAGCAAGGGAAGGUCCAGAUUUGCCAGGGAGAUCUCCAUGAAUCCACAGCUCAUGGACCUUCAAAGGAGAAGGUACCCUCACUAAGGAACAAGUACAGGCUGAAUUAGAAAGACUUGUCUCUGCAAAAUGGGCAUGGAAUAUUCAUGAUAUGGGUAACAAUUCUUUUAGGGUUACUUUUCCAUCAAUGGGUGAAAUGCAGAGGAUGAUUGAAUGGGGCGUUGUGCAAACAAAGUUUAAGGCAAAACUGCAAAUCAAAGAGGCUACUGUAGAUGACGAAGUGAAGUAUGUUAUGCCAAAAGUGUGGGUCCAAUUUACUGGAUUGCCAGAGGAAUUAAGAGAUUUCCCAGUUAUAUGGGCUGUUGGCUCAAUCCUUGGAGUGUCAAAGGAGGUGGAUAUGAUUUUUACCAGACAAUAUGGUCGGUGUCGACUCCAAGUGUUAGUAUUAGAUCCUAAUAUUAUCCCACGGUAUGUGGAUGUAGUCAUUGGUGACUUUUUAUAUGAGCUUCGUUUUCGUGUGGAGAAGAACUUGGAGGACUCCAAUCCGGAGCCAAUGGACAUGGAUGAUAUUACGGAGGAUGGCAAUGGGGAGGCCACUAAUGGCGAUGCUGCAGAGGAGAAGUCAAUGUAUGAUGCUAAACAGAAUAGAGAAGAAAAGAAGGGGGAACUGAGUAGCAGGGAAUUUCUUCUUCCAAGGUGGUCAAACAGGUACUAUUUUCUGCUACAGAAGAUGUUCGAGUUGAGCAGGAGCAUAUUAUGGUUGAGGAAAACAGCAUGGAUCAGAAGCAGGUUGGGGUGGUGAGUCCUAUAUUGCUGAAGAAGUUCGGAUACAGAAUGAGGUUAAAAUGAUGGUUGCAAUUCCGAAAGCUGAUGACAGCCAGGAGUUUCUGUGUUGGAGUAAACGUCGCGCGGCAUCAACGGGAGAGGGAUCCCUGGGCCGGGCAGAACGUCUCAAAGCAGGACGGAACCUAGAUAUGGCGACAGGACAAGGUGGUUUUUCGGGCUACGCAUUGGCUCCAGUUCUGAGCUCAACUACAACUUAGACAGGAUGAUCAAGAACUAAUAAUCAAGGCAUGACGUAGAUUGGAGGAGUUGGUAAUGCAGAUUUUUAGACAUCAUGGAUGGGGAUCUGCAUUUAGACUUUGUCUUUAAUCUCGUUUCGCCACACUAUGUUUUGCCUUUCUUUGAGUUUUCAGAUAGUGUUGUUUCUAUCUGAGUCUGUAAUAAUUCGGCUAUAGUCUCUUUGAGACAAAGGCCAGGAACUUUGAAUUCCCAUUAUCUAAAAAAAUA